rnacentral:rRNA from 1 species
GUAGGUGGCAAGCGUUGUCCGGAAUUAUUGGGCGUAAAGCGCGCGCAGGCGGUUCUUUAAGUCUGAUGUGAAAGCCCACGGCUCAACCGUGGAGGGUCAUUGGAAACUGGAGAACUUGAGUACAGAAGAGGAAAGCGGAAUUCCACGUGUAGCGGUGAAAUGCGUAGAGAUGUGGAGGAACACCAGUGGCGAAGGCGGCUUUCUGGUCUGUAACUGACGCUGAGGCGCGAAAGCGUGGGGAGCAAACAGGAUUAGAUACCCUGGUAGUCCACGCCGCAAACGAUGAGUGCUAAGUGUUAGGGGGUUUCGCCCCUUAGUGCUGCAGCUAACGCAUUAAGCACUCCGCCUGGGAGUACGGCCGCAAGGCUG